rnacentral:sRNA from 1 species
GGCUUGAGUUGGGAGAGGAGCAGGGCGGCCUUGUAGGGUAGGGACAGAUGCGGGGAGGCUCCCGAGUCUCUGGCAGUUGAGUGCCCAGGCCCCCUUCGCCCUGUCCAGGAGACUGUUGGGGAGUCCCCAGGCCCUAAGUCACGGGGCACCUCUUAGAGCUACGCACCCUAGUUCUGUCUUUAGGGACUGGGCCCCUCAUUCCGGAUUGUGUGUUAGGGGUAAUGUCCUCCCCCUUCACCUCAAGGAAGGGACUUCCAGUGUAUGAACAUUUGGCUGUAGCCAGGAGGGGCCUAGUGACCUGAGCACCCCAGGCCAUGUGCGCUGCCUGCUCCAGGGGCCUGAAACAUCCUUCCUGUGUGACCUGCAGCUGACCCCUCCCUACCCUCUGGUCCACCACAGGCUCUCCCAGCCGCCUUCUGUGUCACUACCGUUCUCUUUGCCUAUUUCCUGCAGGCAGAGCUCAGCUCCUGUGCCUUUGGUGUGGGGAGGGUGUGCUGCGCCUGAGAGCUGCCCUGUCCAGGGCGGGCAAGACCUGAGGUGCUCUGCUCACAUUGUGUCUGCCAGGACCCGUCCCUGCUCCUGACCAUCACCGUCAUUGGGGUCACUGUGCUCGUGAUGGUCCUGAAGAGCAUGAACUCCAGGAGGAGAGAGCCAAUCACCUUACAGGACCCUGAAGCCAAGUACCCGCUGCCCUUGAUUGAGAAAGAGAAAAUCAGCCACAACACCCGGAGGUUCCGCUUUGGACUGCCUUCGCCGGACCAUGUCUUAGGGCUUCCUGUAGGUGAGCCGGGCUUGGGUCAUCACCAGGACUGGGGCCUCUGGGGGCUAGGCCCUCCUCUCUUAACAGAAACACAGGUUUCCCACGUCCUGAGGUGUGGAAGAUGCCCUCUUGCUCCUCCUGAGCCUGUGAGCUCAGGGAGAUAGGGGGAUGGAUGUGGGACAGAAAAUUUCUUUUCUUCAUUAUUCCAAUUGGGCUGACACGAGAGUGGUACCUCAGUGAGCAUUGAAAAGAACUGAACCUAGAGCCAAAAGGCCUAAAAUCUCAUGGAAGGCUCCUUGCUGGGGAACUUACGGGAAGUCCUUCAAUCUCUCUGAGCCUCAGUCUAUGAAAUGGGAUUUCCCAGGCCUGCCUGUCUACCUCACUUGGGUUGUUGUGAAAGUAGAGUGACUGAUGGAUAUGAAAAUUCAGAAACUACAAAGUAUUGUGCACCUGGGAGGGAUGGGAGGAACCAGUGGUUGGGGAAAGGCCCAGAAUGUGCGGGUAGGCAGGAAUGAGUCAGGUGUGCCCUGCCCCCAAGGUCACUUAGAUUCUCUGCAGGGGCCUCAGACCCACAUAAGGAGGGACCAGCCCUAGGAGUUGCAGAUUCCAGCCCUAGGAGUCCUAGAGUUGAGUUAUCCCAUUUCUAAUCUGUAACACCACUAGAUAGCUGAGUCAGUGCAGUAGAAAACUGCUAGAAUAAGGGAUUCAGAGCAGCUUUGUAUAAUCUGCUAGUGCUGCUUGCCUGCCUGGUGGAUCCGACUCCGUGGCCUAUUUGUCUUAUAUGCACAGGACAAAACCUUGACCUCAGCUCUAUCAGGUGGUGAGAUUAUACUCUAACCAGCUGGCUGGGCCCCUGAGCCUCCUUGCUGUUCCCUCACUCCAUCUCUAUGCACGAGAGCUCAGUGUUGUGCGUGCCGUCUCCCAGCUCCCUGCUCGGCCUGUCAGGCAGGUCCUGUUGGCAGGAAGCCUAAAAGAAUGAAAAACUUUGAGAUAGAGAAUUGCUUAGAAACUGCCUUGACCCACUAUCUCCUCAGCCUUGGCCUAGGCCGUGCAAAGUUAGUGGGACAAGGUAAUGUAGAGGCCUCUGGGAGAGUCUAAUAUGAGGCCUCAGUUCGCUGCUUCGUCCCAGCCCAGUGGAAGUGAAGCAAGUUACAGAUGGGGCUUGAAGGACCAGCCAGGGAGCCCCAUUUGCUCUGGGGACACCCUCAGGCCAGGCCUAGGUGGCUGCAUAUGAAAGAGCCUUUCCAGGUUUCCAGUUUCAGGUUCUCAGAAGGAAGCUAGGUGUCUCAGACGCUUAUUCCUGUGUAUCCCUGGUGCCCAGAGGGACCAAGACCAGAGUCAUUGAGCCUGUUCUGAGCCCAGAGUGUUGGCACCUCAAAGACUUGGCUCAUCCCCUUGAAUCAGCUUCAGGGACCAACCCCUCUAGUGCCUACUCUGCCUGCUUUUUUCUCCUCCUGCCUCCUCCUCCUCCCUGCACCUUAGGUCUUGGUUUCUAUCCAUAUCUCUGUUCCAUCUUCCUUGUCUCUUGACUAAUUUCCUGUAUGUAGUCCACUCAGUUUCUGAGCGAGUAGAAACUGAGGGAGUAGAAACUGACUACAUACAGGAAGUUAGUCAAGGGUUAGGGUUACAAAACUUUCUCUUGCCUCUAGCUCUUAGUAUCUCUUGAUUGCGCUCCUGUCUCUGCCACUAAUUGCCUUAGUAAUUUGAGUCUCACAUUUUGGAUCCAACAGGUCGUAGCUGCCCAGUGUGUCAUCUGACAGUGGGAUGUAGUCAUGAUCCAUAGGUCUCUGGCCACACCUGGUUUAUUGAAUUCUACCGAGGAAGGGCAGAGUUACACGGUUUAAAACUUCACUGCUACUCCUCACAAGGCCAUAGGCCAGGAAGACAUGAUAUUGUUGUUUCAUUUGCUCCAUGGGUACCCAAAUCCUAGGGCCCUGUAGUAUCUGUGAGCCCAGGCCUGCUCUGUGCCUAGUACCAGGAUACAGAUGGAGUAGUUGUAAUUUAUUCACAGAUCUCAGUGAUACAUCCAGUUUAGGAAGAAAUGAGUUUGUGAAGGCCACAUAUUUUUCUUGAAUAGACAAAUAUUCCUUUCUGUAAUUUUUUUUUUUUUUUUUUGAGACAGGGUCUCAUUCUGUCGUCCAGGUUGGAAUGCAGUGGCACAGUCUCAGCUCACUGCAGCCUCAACCUCCUGGGCUCAGGUGAUGCUCCCACCUCAGCCUCCCAAGUAGCUGAGACUAUGGGUGUGCACCACCACACCUGGCUAAUUUUUUGUAUUUUUUUGUAGAGAUGGGGUUUCGCCAUCUUGCCCAGGCUGGUCUCGAACUCCUGAGUUCAAGCAAUCCACCCGCCUCUGGGCUGGGAUUACAGGCGUGAGCUACCAUGUCUGACCCCUUUCUGUAAUUUUUAAUACUCACUCUCCAACUUUAGUGAUCUUUUCCUGCUCCAAAAAGCAGUUGCACUAAGAUCACAGGUGGGCAGACAUAUCACCCCCAUUUUACAGAUGAAGAGACCAAAACCCAGAGAGGUGAAGUGACUUGCCUAGGGUAGCACAGGGAGGCAGGGCAGGCCUAGGAUCCAGGCAUCCCAUAUUUGGGCUCCUUCCCUGCUCUCUUCUUCCCACCCCUCUUAACAUUGUGCCCCAGUAUUUGCUCCCUUCACUGAAGCUCAGUCCUUUAUUCCUGGGCCUUAUUUAAGCUAAAUGUGCUUUGACUCAGUACUUGAUGCCUUUUCUAUAGGUAACUAUGUCCAGCUCUUGGCGAAAAUUGGCAAUGAAUUGGUGGUCAGGGCUUACACCCCUGUCUCCAGUGAUGAUGACAGAGGCUUUGUGGACCUAAUUAUAAAGGUAAAUAGUGCCCACCAUAUCUGGCUAGCUCGUGCUUCCAAGCCUAUGGAGGGUGGUGGGGUGGAGGGGCAGUGCUUUUUCUCUGAGGGCACAUAUGCCCUAGACAGGGCUUUCCAGCAGUGAAGCUACAGUUAACCUUGUGGCAGCUGCAUCUUCAGGGAUUGCGUACAGCAAUUGAGAGAGGAGAACAGUUUCUCUGCAAAGCUGCCAGCAGUAAAUGCAUUUUCUAGUUGUGCGUGGCUGUGGCAUUGUGUCUGGGAAUGUGAAAGCAGUGCUGCCUUGCUUUUCAGAUCUACUUCAAAAAUGUACACCCCCAAUAUCCUGAAGGUGGGAAGAUGACUCAGUAUUUGGAGAACAUGAAAAUCGGGGAGACCAUCUUUUUUCGAGGGCCAAAGGGACGCUUGUUUUACCAUGGGCCAGGUACUGGAGGGGUUAAUACUGGGCUCCCAGCUGGGAGGAAGAUUCCUGCAAUGGUUCCAUUGUUCUCGUACACUCCUCAGAUUUGAGUCACAUGGGGUUGUCCUUAGUCUUCAUUCAUUCACACACAAUGCAUAAUGAUCACACUUGUUACACAUUCACACACCCACUUGAUGAGGUUGUAAGCUUUUGUAAGGUAGGGGAAUGACUUGGUGUUUCCUCGUCAUUGUAUCAAAAUCUCCAGCACAAUGCCUGAUACAUAAAUGGUGCCUGCUAAUACUGAAAAAUGGAUGGAUGGAGUCCAUGCUCCUUUGUUUACUCACAUAGCCAUUAUUUACUCACUGGUUCACCUCCGUGAGUGAGAAUGCUCUUUGAGUCUCUGUGUUAACUUCAGCUUGCCCCUCUUUUUCCUCAGAACAGAAGGCCCGGCGAUUCCCCGAGCAAGCCCAGGCUCUAUUCCCACUUUGUGCACUGGAGCACCAGGGCUAGCUGAGGAGACUGCCCUGGCCUGCUUCUCCAGCUUAAAAUGGUGCAGACAGUCCCUUAGCUGGACGUGCCUCCUGGGAGUGCUAAGGAAUGUCAGUGAUCUUUUGCAGUCUCUUAGGCAAGAACUGCAGAGGUCAUAAGCAUUCUCUGUGUUUCCAGGGAAUCUUGGAAUCAGACCAGACCAGACGAGUGAGCCUAAAAAAAAACUGGCCGAUCACCUGGGAAUGAUUGCUGGGGGCACAGGCAUCACACCCAUGUUGCAGCUCAUUCGCCACAUCACCAAGGACCCCAGUGACAUGACCAGGAUGUCCCUCAUCUUUGCCAACCAGGUCAGUUCCUGCUGAGCUUGCAGUGGUAGGAUGGAAUGUUUGCUGAGCUGGGCUCUUGUUUUCAUUUCUCCUGCAUUGACUGAGCUCAUGCUGCUUAGGUGCCUGCGUCUGUGGGAGGGCUUAGUGGGAUCAACAGGGCUGCUGGCAGCUGGAGAAGCUGAGUCCAGGCCUGCUUUUUGCAUGUAUUUAACUCUUUUGUGUCUCCUCAGCCAGCCCUAAGCACUAAGCAUUCCUUUUUUCCUUAAGAUGUACUGCUGUAUUUUUGCUAAGUGUAAAAUCACAGAUGUCCUCAGUGGACACUUCAGAAAAUACAGAAUAUAAAUAUUUACUUAUUUUUUAAAUCUUUUUUCUAUAUAUGUUAUAUAUUUGUAAUUUAUAUAUGCUUUUUUUUUCACUCAGCAUUACCACAACAGGCAUUUUCUUCUCUUUAAGAUGCUUUAUAAAUAUUUUCAUCAUAGUUUUUAUCAAGUUGCACUAUAAUUUACUAACUUCUACAUUCAGGCUGUUUUCAGUUAUAAAUAAUAUGGUGAUGAAUAAUUGUGCCCUACGCUUGAUUACUUUUAGACUAUUUUCUAAAACAGAAUCCCAGAAGUGGAAUGACUGGGAUGAGAAUCAUGAAGAGUUUUAAGAUCCAGGUCUUCUGUGCAGUUAUCUUUGAGGCUGUGACAGGUUAUUUUUGGCUUUGGUUCCCUUUCCCCCAAAUGGGGCUCCAGACUGUUUUCCUCUCCUUCACAUAUCCAGUGCUGUUCUAUCAAUCACGGGACUUUCUGAGCCCAUUACAUUUCUUCCAGAAGAUCCUGGGCCUGCACUGAGCUUGUUCCAGUUAGGUUUGCUGUGCUAGAGCUCAGUGUAGAUGUAGGAGGCAGGGCUGGAGCUCCGAGUGAAGCCAUCCUGGCCAGCGCUUGGCUAAGGUCCUUCUAGUUGGAGGCGGUCACUGCAGCUCCAUGGGAACCUACAUCCCAUGGAGGUUCUUCAUCCACAUGGAGGAACUUCAUCCACAAAACAAAGGGUUUGAUCUUCAGGAGCAGCAGCAGAACUCUUGUUUGCUGUGGGAGUUGGCAGCGAGCACUCCAGCUGGAGUGGUGGCAGCUUUGGCCAGGAGUAUGCUGACCAGUGUAGUCAGUCCAGGGAACAACAGGAUGGCCCUGGAGGGGCUUUUUCAGUGUUGCUUCUUUUCUAGACAGAGGAGGAUAUCUUGGUCAGAAAAGAGCUUGAAGAAAUUGCCAGGACUCACCCAGACCAGUUCGACCUGUGGUACACCCUGGACAGGCCUCCCAUUGGUACGAUAUCCAGUGCCCUCACUCACCAUGGGUCAGCACCAACCCUUGACCACUUUGAGGACUGGUCUCUGUCUCUUUGUUUUGGUUUUGUAGGACCCGAUGUGGGGGUGAAGCCUUGGGCUCUGGCUCCAGAUGGGAAAUGUGAGAAAUUGAGGGAGAGAGGAUUUGGGAUGGCCUGCUUUUAAGGGCAAUCGAGAGCAGGUGUCUAAUACAUCAGCAGCACCUCACACACUGCACUGAACAUCAAAAGGGACACUGCCCCUGUCCACUCUGAACACCCACCCACUCCACAGCCAUCACAUACACAUCUAAUAUGGGCACUGACCCCUUCACCACUCACCCUUCUGCUUACGGCCACCACACCCCUUACCACCCACCUCACCUGGACAUGCUGAGCCCCCAGACAGCAUCCCAGCAACCACUGUGCACAGAGCACCCCACAGGCGCGCCUCUCACACUGCUCCCGGCUGUACCUGCUUGUCAUACAGGUCCCUGGUCGGCAGAGGGCGCUACCCUACUGAGCAAUUCUGCGCAGUUCCACUAACACCAGGCCACACCCUGCCGGACAACUCCAGCUGGCUGUAUUGAUUCACACACCUCGGUAUACCUCGUUGUGUUCUCCUUCCUCGUCAAUGCUGACAGCUGACAGACAGCAGCAGGGCUUCAGGGUCCCCGCAGUGAGCCUGGGACCUGGGAUGACUGCUGCAGAGGGCUGUUUACUAGUUCUGAGGCUUUUUGCAGGGAGCAGUAGUACAGACUUCUAAGCCUUUGUAGAGCAGCUUGUCACCUCCUCCCUGGCUGAGGGUGGGUGUGCAGGCGGCCUGGGAUCAGGAACUCCACCUGGCAUCCCUCAGCUUGCUCCUGCAUCUCCUUCAUUUCAGGCUGGAAGUACAGCUCAGGCUUCGUUACUGCCGACAUGAUCAAGGAGCACCUUCCUCCUCCAGGGAAGUCCACGCUCAUCCUGGUGUGUGGCCCGCCACCGCUGAUCCAGACGGCGGCUCACCCUAACCUGGAGAAGCUGGGUUAUACCCAGGACAUGAUUUUCACCUACUAACACCUCCAUGUGCUCAGCAAAUCUGCAUGUCCCUUUUCAUCUGUUUCAGAGUAAGUUCAAUUUCACCACCUUAAACUGGGAUGUUUUCAAAAGUGCCUUGCCAUGUACCUUCGCGCACACACUGGUUCUCCUCUUUUGGGUGUGGGCCUAACAAAAAGGGCUCAAGGGGCUGGAGACUGGCUGCUGGGGCCUCCUUGCUUGGAGGCUGGAAAGAGCUCCAUUUCAGUAUCUUUCUCCGUGGUUUUGUGAAAUAAACUCAAGUACAAAGC